rnacentral:rRNA from 1 species
UACGUACUGUGCGAACGUUAUUCGGAAUCACUGGGCUUAAAGGGUGCGUAGGCGGCUACUUAAGUAGGGUGUGAAAUCCCCCGGCUUAACCGGGGAACUGCGCUCUAAACUGGGUGGCUUGAGUGCGAUAGGGGUGUGCGGAACUUCCAGUGGAGCGGUGAAAUGUGUUGAUAUUGGAAGGAACACCGGUGGCGAAAGCGGCACACUGGGUCGUAACUGACGCUGAGGCACGAAAGCCAGGGGAGCGAACGGG